UGUGAACCCCAGGCCACCACAGUGGAGUGCACGAACUUAACCACUACACCACCAGUCCGGCCUCUACAAUGAUUUGUUGCCAUGUAGAAACUUUUGCAUUGUAUGUAGUUGAAUUUAUUAGUCUUAUUAUUAUUCUUUUAUUUUAUGGUUUCUGUGUUUUAAGGAAGCUUAAAAAUGUUUUCCCUCACUGAAGUUAUAAUGAAGUUCUCCCCAAUUCUUCAGGUACUCAUGGUUUCAAUUUUUAUGUUUACACCUUUGCUGCAUUUAGAAUUUAUUUCUGAGUAAUGAGUGAAGUUGGUACCUGUAUUAAGAGUUUUACUCAAGUACAUGUAACAGAUUUAACUACAGAACAGGGUUUAUCAGGGGCUUUGGGAUUCUGCUUAGGACAAAGAAAAGCUGGAAAUAGCAUAGCUUUCACUAUUUCAACAAAAGAAAUCACAAGGCAAUCUGAAAUUUCACAACUUUUUUUAAAUUUAUCAGAGCUGAGGUUCCAGGACAACCUCAUUUGUCUUAAUCUGAGGAAAGCAGGUGCCUUCAGGAGACAGCACAGGUGCACUUGCUUAUUUGGGGUUGACUCCACCCCCCUACACACCAUCAAGCUGCUCUUUUUCUCAGGACAUGUGCCCUUGAAUCCCUGAGGAGCCAUGUAAGAAGUCCAGAAGAUCAUGAGGAGAGACUACACAGAAAUAGAGCGAGAUGCCUAAGAUGCCCCCGGUGCUCCAGCCCCAGCUGAUUAUCUUCUUAUUUCUUAUUUGUUUAUUUAUUUCUUAAGCAAACAUUAAACCACUCUAGUAUCAUA